rnacentral:rRNA from 1 species
CCUACGGGUGGCAGCAGUGAGGAAUAUUGGUCAAUGGACGAGAGUCUGAACCAGCCAAGUAGCGUGAAUGAUGACUGCCCUAUGGGUUGUAAACUUCUUUUAUAAGAGAAUAAAACGAGGCACGCGUGCCUGUUUGCAUGUACUUUAUGAAUAAGGAUCGGCUAACUCCGUGCCAGCAGCCGCGGUAAUACGGAGGAUCCGAGCGUUAUCCGGAUUUAUUGGGUUUAAAGGGUGCGUAGAUGGGUUGUUAAGUCAGUUGUGAAAUUUUGCGGCUCAACCGCAAAAUUGCAAUUGAUACUGGUCGUCUUGAGUACAGUUGAGGUAGGCGGAAUGUGUGGUGUAGCGGUGAAAUGCUUAGAGAUCACGCAGAACCCCGAUUGCGAAGGCAGCUUACCAAGCUGCGACUGACAUUGAUGCUCGAAAGUGUGGGGAUCAAACAGGAUUAGAUACCCUAGUAGUC